AAGUGUUAUGGCUCUUUUAGAAUUUGUCCAGCAGGUUUUCCAAUACUCACUGAAAGAUCCUA
rnacentral:snRNA from 1 species